UCUGUGGUUUAACCCACAGUGCCACCCGCAUAUUGAGGAUGCAAUGGAGGCAGCAAAGUAUGCCUUCUUUACUGCCUCCACUGCCACAAGUGAAGCCCUCAGCAGUGUUCAAUUGCUGGAGUUUUCUCCACUCAUGUUUGAGCCGUCUCCCAGCUUGUUUCCUUGCCCUAAACUCUGGAUUAUACCAGGGAGCCAAGGGGACUCCACAAAGUGGGGGAAGGCACUCAGGGGCAAUGGUGUCAACAGCCCGAGCCAUUCGGAUGUUCCAGCAGUUGACUGGGGCUUUGACAGGAGCAUCAGUCAUAUCAGCUGGGGAAACCCAUUGGAAUUUCCAAUUAUUAUCAUCCUAAUAGCUCUCCUGCCUCUACAGAUGGGAAACGGUGCUGAAAGCCUAAAUCUCAGCUCAUCUGUGAAGCUCCCUGGGCUGCCUUGGGCGAGUCACUGUCAGCCUACGUCUCAAGGUUGAUUAUUUUGAUCAUCUAAGCAGAGAAGAUGGGCAGAAAUAUCGAAGAAGCCUCUCAGUCCGGGAAAUGCUUUAAUACACUGUAAUGCCUGUGCGACAAGAGACUGGACCAUGGCUGCGGAGGUUUGGGGGACUAGAAUCUUUGUAGGGCUACACCCCCCUUUGCUCAACAGAGGAGCUUCCGCUGAUUAAGGGUUACACAGAUGUAACCCUUAGGCAGAACACUGAUGCCAGAUCGAUACUGCAGGGUGGGGUCUCCCUUUUAACAUAGCGAUAGAUCAAUCAAAUAUAGAACGCUGCCGACUGGAGAGCAGGAAGCAUUCAAAACAUGGUCCCCACCAGGCUCCUCGUUCUCUCCCUGACCCAACUGCUCUUGGGCUUUAGUUUCAUGUCCAAAAUCUUCCUCUGCUUUCCAAAAAUAAGCCACUGCCACCAUGCUGAAGGGAGAAAAACAAGAAGGGUGGUAUUUUUAGGGCCAUUAAUUCUGACCACGUGCCCAGGAGGUGAACGGAUGGCUAUUGCACAAAGGCUUCUCAUCACUAUGUCCUACGAAGCCAGCAUUCACUUGACGUUCCCUGCUUUUGUUCUCCUGGGCUUUCUGGCUGAGAUUCUCUUUUCCUACCCAGUUGUCGUCAGAACAAAUGGCACCCUGUUGGACAGAGGAUGGGAGUCUAUCUUAUCCAGGUCCCUUGCUGGAAUGUCAGGGGAGAAAUCUGAAGUCAACUGGGAGACUGACUAUUUGCUAGGAAUCAAGAGGCGGCGGAGGCUUUACUGCAACGUGGGCAUUGGGUUUCAUCUCCAGAUAUUUCCAGAUGGACAGAUAAGUGGUAUUCAUGCUGAAAACCAAUACAGUCUCUUGGAAAUAUCAACAGUAGAGAGAGGUGUGGUUAGUCUGUUUGGUGUCAAAAGUGCACUCUUUAUUGCAAUGAACAGCAAAGGGAAAUUAUACGGCACGGCAACUUUUCAAGACGAAUGUAAAUUCAAAGAAAGCCUUCUUCCCAACAACUACAAUGCUUAUGAAUCAGCCAUGUACAAAAGCUUUUACAUAGCACUCAGCAAACAUGGGAGAGCCAAAAGAGGAAGCAAAGUCUCGCUUGCUCAGACUGUCACACACUUUUUACCCAGAUUAUGAAGACCAGAGUCAAAUGUAUUUAAACUGCCCUAUUUCAAUUUGCACAUGAGAAUCAGCUCCCAGGACUUGUUUUCCACACCACUGACCAUCUUUGAUUGCCUUCUCCGAUCCCAUUCCAAUCUCACCUUCUUAAAACGUGGUGCUCAGAACUGGAUACAGUGCCCCAGAUGAGUUUUUACUGCUACAGAAUAAAGUGGAACUGCCAAAUAUACCUCAUAUGCUGACUUAACAUGAACUUAACAUUAGAAACUGUACAUUUGUAGGAAACAAACAU